rnacentral:rRNA from 1 species
CAGCGCCGCGGGAAUACGAAGGGUGCAAGCGUUAAUCGGAAUUACUGGGCGUAAAGCGUGCGUAGGCGGUUUGUUAAGUCUGCUGUGAAAUCCCCGGGCUCAACCUGGGAAUGGCAGUGGAUACUGGCAAGCUAGAGUGUGUCAGAGGAUGGUGGAAUUCCCGGUGUAGCGGUGAAAUGCGUAGAGAUCGGGAGGAACAUCAGUGGCGAAGGCGGCCAUCUGGGACAACACUGACGCUGAGGCACGAAAGCGUGGGGAGCAAACAGGAUUAGAUACCCCAGUAGUCCCUGUCUCUUAUACA